AUUGAACGCUGGCGGCAGGCCUAACACAUGCAAGUCGAGCGGAUGAAGGGAGCUUGCUCCUGGAUUCAGCGGCGGACGGGUGAGUAAUGCCUAGGAAUCUGCCUGGUAGUGGGGGAUAACGUCCGGAAACGGGCGCUAAUACCGCAUACGUCCUGAGGGAGAAAGUGGGGGAUCUUCGGACCUCACGCUAUCAGAUGAGCCUAGGUCGGAUUAGCUAGUUGGUGGGGUAAAGGCCUACCAAGGCGACGAUCCGUAACUGGUCUGAGAGGAUGAUCAGUCACACUGGAACUGAGACACGGUCCAGACUCCUACGGGAGGCAGCAGUGGGGAAUAUUGGACAAUGGGCGAAAGCCUGAUCCAGCCAUGCCGCGUGUGUGAAGAAGGUCUUCGGAUUGUAAAGCACUUUAAGUUGGGAGGAAGGGCAGUAAGUUAAUACCUUGCUGUUUUACGUUACCAACAGAAUAAGCACCGGCUAACUUCGUG
rnacentral:rRNA from 1 species